rnacentral:rRNA from 1 species
AAGAAAGUAAGCAAGGGCGCAUGGAGGAUGCCUUGGCUCUCAGAGGCGAUGAAGGACGUGAUAAGCUGCGAUAAGCUACGAUUAGGAGCAAAUAUCCUUUGAUUCGUAGAUUUCCGAAUGGGGCAACCCGCGCGGGUGAAGACCGCGCACCUAUAAUGGAGUUAACCCGGUGAACUGAAACAUCUAAGUAACCGGAGGAAAAGAAAAUAAUAAUGAUUUCGUAAGUAGUGGCGAGCGAACGCGAAAAAGCCCAAACCGAGAAUGUCUCGGCAUUGUCGGGGUUGUAGGACUGCCACGUAUGUUAUAUAAUUGAAGUAGAACGUCUUGGAAAGGGCGACCGUAGAGGGUGACAGUCCUGUACACGUAAGAUUAUAUAAUGUUAGCAGUAUCCUGAGUAAGGCGGGACACGAGGAAUCCUGUCUGAAUCCACGGGGACCAUCCCGUAAGGCUAAAUACUCCUGAGAGACCGAUAGUGAACUAGUACCGUGAGGGAAAGGUGAAAAGCACUUCGAACAGAAGAGUGAAAUAGUACCUGAAACCAUGCGCUUACAAGCGGUCGGAGUCUGACGUAUUUAUACGUAAACAGAUGACGGCGUGCCUUUUGCAUAAUGAGCCUACGAGUUGCUCUUCUCUGGCAAGGUUAAGUACUUAAAAGUACGUAGCCGAAGCGAAAGCGAGUCUUAAUAGGGCGUUCCACAGUCAGAGGAGGCAGACGCGAAACUUUGUGAUCUACCCAUGACCAGGUUGAAGUUGCGCUAAUCCGCAAUGGAGGACCGAACCGAUAAACGUUGAAAAGUUUCCGGAUGAGUUGUGGGUCGGAGUGAAAGGCUAAUCAAACUGAGAGAUAGCUCGUACUCCCCGAAAUGCAUUUAGGUGCAGCCUGUGGUGAGGUGUAUCAGAGGUAGAGCUACUGAUUGGACAAGAGGGUUUCACCGCCUA